rnacentral:rRNA from 1 species
UACAGAGGGGGCAAGCGUUGUUCGGAAUUACUGGGCGUAAGGGGCGCGUAGGCGGCCCUCUAAGUCAGACGUGAAAUCCCUCGGCUCAACCGGGGAACUGCGUCUGAGACUGGAAGGCUUGAAUUCGGGAGAGGGAUGUGGAAUUCCAGGUGUAGCGGUGAAAUGCGUAGAUAUCUGGAGGAACACCGGUGGCGAAGGCGGCAUCCUGGACCGAGAUUGACGCUGAUGCGCGAAAGCCAGGGGAGCAAACGGG